AAGGCCUUAGCUUAAUUAAAGCGUUUGAGUUGCAUUUAAGAGAUGCAUAUUAAGGUUAUGCAGGUCUUA